rnacentral:rRNA from 1 species
GUUGAAAGUGAACGCAUCCGCAAGGAGCAGACGUGCGAUCCUGGGCAUCUCGGUGCCUGGGCGCAACAUGGCCCCAUCCCGAUUGCUUGCAAUGGGGUGGAGGAAGAGCGUACGCGGUGAGACCCGAAAGAUGGUGAACUAUUCCUGAGCAGGAUGAAGCCAGAGGAAACUCUGGUGGAAGUCCGAAGCGAUUCUGACGUGCAAAUCGAUCGUCUGUACUUGGGUAUAUG